rnacentral:rRNA from 1 species
CCUACGGGAGGCAGCAGUCGAGAAUCAUGCACAAUGGGGGAAACCCUGAUGGGGCGACGCCGCGUGGGGGAAUGAAGGUCUUCGGAUUGUAAACCCCUGUCAUGUGGGAGCAAAUUAAAAAGAUAGUACCACAAGAGGAAGAGACGACUAACUCUGUGCCAGCAGCCGCGGUAAUCCAGAGGUCUCAAGCGUUGUUCGGAAUCACUGGGCGUAAAGCGUGCGUAGGCGGUUUCGUAAGUCGUGUGUGAAAGGCGCGGGCUCAACCCGCGGACGGCACAUGAUACUGCGAGACUAGAGUAAUGGAGGGGGAACCGGAAUGCUCGGUGUAGCAGUGAAAUGCGUAGAUAUCGAGAGGAACACUCGUGGCGAAGGCGGGUUCCUGGACAUUAACUGACGCUGAGGCACGAAGGCCAGGGGAGCGAAAGGGAUUAGAUACCCGUGUAGUC